CAAAUCGUUUUAGAAGUCCUAAGGUAUAAUGAAUAUGUAUAGGUGACAGGAAAAAAAUGUAGCUUGGGUUCAGAAGUGAGUAAUUCUGAGAUGUGUAAAUUUUUUAAAGGUUAUUACAAAUAUAUUCUGUAAUUUAGAGGACGGAUUACCUAUGGGCUGGAUGCAAGGGUAAGUAUGUUUUUAUUAUUAUUGUUUCUAAAAGGGUCCAUUCUUUGCUUUGCAGAAGUGGGAUAAAGUAAGUGACAUAAAGAACAGUAACACCUGUUUAAUUUUCUCCAAGAAAAGAAAGCCAGUCUUUAUUAUUGUUUGCAGCCAUGAGAAUAAAUAUAGAAAUGAAAAGAUUAUAAAGUAUAGUAGUAAUUUCAUACAAUGUAAACUAUAAUUGCACUACAAUCUGCAGCCAUCAAAAGAAUGUAAUGUGAGAAAUACCUGCAAAGACAAACUAAGCUGGCUAGGUAAACUUCCCAUCUGGAAUAGAAGGUGAAGAAAAAGAAAUAAAUCAGUAUUCUUAGUAAACACUGUGCUGCAGACGAACACCUCAGGUUCUGCUGCUUGUACUGUUGUCCUGCUUGUUGGGCAUCCACUUGGAGGAAGCACUGGAGUAUUGUCACUUCAGGAGCAAUCUACCAAGGGCCUGAUGGGUCACCUAGAUUUUGAAUACCUGAUAAAAAAUUCUUUACAUUUAUAAAGUCUCCAGCUUUAGUAGCUGAAUCCAUGCUUCAUUAGGCUGAUCCACUUCUUGUUCAACCUUGUUUUGAAGUUAUAUAGCAGCUUUCACUCCAGAAUCUCAGCGUUCCUUCAAACAGCAUCUAUGUGAGCAAGAAUAAAAUGCUAAAGCCAACAGAGAUUAAAUUAUUUCUGAAAAAUCAUUCAGCAAACAUUAACCAGAAAGAACUGAGGAAACAAGCAGCCCCCAUGCCAAGCCUGGUCUGUAAGCCAAAAAUUGAGCAGUUCUCAUUGUCGUGCUCAUGCUCCUGGAACUACAUCCCAUUGCAUACCUGUCCAUGCAAUGGAAGCUCCUCUAUGCUGGAUGAAGUGCUCACACAGUGAUUCUGUAUUUAUAGUAAUUCUGAAGAACUGAACCUGCAAGGAUAUCACAGGAAGAGAGGGAGGCCUUCAGUUAUUUGCUCUUGAUGACGCUUACAAUGCCUCUUCUCCAGUUACAGUUAGCAGCUACUUAUUUUCAACAGCUCUAAGGAGCACAAAGGAACCACAGAAUGACUACAGGGAGAGUCCCUUCAGAUCUAAAGAUGCAGUGGAAAGAAUGUAUAAACCAACAUUUUAAUGUGUGAUGUUUAAUUCUGGGUUUUUUUGUGAUUUUUUUUUUUAAUAGCUAUGAAAGAUACAUUUUCUUCCUGAGCUUCUUGUUUUUGCUUUUUUUGUUUGUUUUUAAACAUACAUAACAACUUUUCUCUGUGUUUUGAUGUUUACCAGACUGAGAAACAGGUGAGCUCAGGUCUCUGUCACACAAUAGAAUGCUUGGAUAUCUACAGGGCAGAAGGGCCAGAAAAGUGCUUCCUCUGCUAUUGACACAAAGCACAGAAGUAUCAGCUGCACACCUGAGUGCCACUUGAACGAGGAUGAAUUGUGUUCUGAGACCGCAUUGCUCAGCUGGAGCGACCACAUAAGCACUGGGCAGCGUGGGCUGCUCUGCUUCGUCCCUCCGUCCCAGUGCACAGAGACUGUCUGCACAGAGCAAGUCCCAGCAAGUCUGGUGCAGAUGGUGCAAACCAAGCUUCUCCAGUCUCCGUUUUCCCAGCCUUGCUUAAUGAGAGUCCCUGCUUGUCAAAACGAUGAACCUACAGACUGAAAAUGAACACUGUUAUUAGCAAUUCCAUUUAUAAUGCAAAUGUCUCUCUUUCUAACUGAAUUAAUGAAGAAAACAGGGUCACAAAGAUGUAACUAAGGAAAUCUUUCUGUCUUUGGAUUUGCUAAAUUUGCUCAGAUAUUAUAAGAGAAUCUGCCCACCCAGCCGCUUUUUCCUAAUCUGCUCUAAGCAGAGCAACAGCACAAUGACAGAAAAUAAUACUGUCAUUUAACUUAACACUCAUCAAAUGCUAUCCAGUCAGAGCUGUGCAAUGUUUCACAAGCUUUAAAUAGACUGAGCACUCCUUCCUUGUGAAUUAGAUAUUGCAACCAUUUUACAAAAAGGUAAAUUGAGAGGUACAAGGAUUAAGACCAGCAAGGCUGAUUUCUGUGGCUCAGCUGGUCUUCUUUUCAGAGACACCAAGAAAACAUCUCUCUUCUUCUGUCAGUUGAAGUUGUAGGCUCUGAUUGAUAUUGGUUUACAGUUGGUUUAUUAAGCUGGACACCUUCAACUUGUCAUUGGUGACUGCUUGAGAAAAAGGGGAAAUGUUGAAGUUAAUCUAGAAAGGAAGUGGGUGAAACUUGAGACCUGAAUCUUAAUUUCUAUACAUAACUACAAAGCCAAUCUGGUUCCUAAAGUGAUAUUAGCAAAAGGUUUGGAAGGCCCUCUGCACUUAGAAAGAAAAUAGAUAAGCCAAAGAGAAAAAUUAAUACACUUAAAUUAAAUACGGCAACAACAAAUAAAACACCAGACUGUUUGUUAUAUACCGUAGACUCUGUAGGAAAGCACUGCACCCAUUAUUUCUUAUUAUUGCUCCAGGAAAGAAAUUCACAGGGAAGGCAAAAAAAAAUGAAGUUAGCAAUGAUUUUUCACUAUGAACAUUUCUCCAGGGAUGAGUUGUAAAGGAAAAAAAAUGUAGCCUGGGAGAAGAGAGCUAGAAAGAAAGGAUUAUCUACAUUUAUGUAUUUAGUGAGACACUUGCACCCACACUAAUGCCGUUAUAGGGAAACCAUUAAACAGCACUUUUACACCUCUUUUUAUUUUGUCUUAAUGCAUGGAAGAACCGUUUAGUCAAGAAGUAGUAAAUUGAACUAUGCAUUAUGGCUGAGGCUGCAGUAGGUAGGAAGAGAGAAUCCAAUGUGACACAAAGUCCUUCCAGUUAGGAUCAAUCUCUGCUGUAUGGGCUAAUUACUGGAAUGGUUGCAUGCACUAACUGUGGGACUCUCUCUUCACACGACUACUAUACCCAGUUUUAAGCAAGAUAACCAUACAACCUGAUCUUGUGUUGCUGACAUCUUAUCUGGGAAAGCUGAAUGCCAAGGCUCCCUAAGCAUCCACUGUGGUACAGAGGACCAAUGACACUAACAGGUAUUGUGUGAAUAAAAACAUAUACAGAACAGACUGAGGUCUCAAGGAAAAGUGAGCAGAUGGGAUGGCAGACAGCAAUGAGGAGGUGCAGCAUAACAAGAAAAUGAGAAGUUUUCAAACACGGAGUGGUAGCAGAGGGAGAUCAGUUAGAAAGGGUUGCAAAUUGUUGAUCUUAAAAGCGAUUCAGGAACAUCAUAGAGUGAGAAGUCAAGAAGGAUGACAGCAUUUGGGUCAAUAGUAGGCUAUAGAUGAAAGGUAAUACUACAUGAAGCGAUGCAUCUGACAUCAUACAGAACAGUAGGUACUGAAAUGCAGAUAAGUAAAUAGAAGAAAGGCUAGUUAAAGUAUAGAAGAAAGAAAGAAUAUUGAGUAAACAUGCCAUUCAGAGGGUGGAAUAGCUAAAAAUCCAACUAAAGUUAGUGCAGAAUGAGGUUGCCUUUUAAUAAGUUAGCACCAGCUGUUCAGUGGAGGAUGGAAGAAUUAUGUUCAUUAUUUUAUAAGUUCAGAUGCCAAAUCAAACCUUAGAAUCAUUGGCCAGAAUUGCCAAUUGCAAACAAGGUUUAUGGUAAACCUUUUGAAGAGGCACUGAGAUGAAGAAGAAAUGUAUUUCCUGCCUCUCAAAACAUCCUAAAAAGUGAUGGAUUAGAAACCUUAGUGCCUACAGAUCUAGUGCCUUCCUGGUUCAACAUGAGUCUAAUGCUGUAUUAGAAUGACUACUGUCAGUGUAUCUCCAGGGUCUGCAAAGGAUGCGACUCAGACUUGAGCUCUUGGCCUGGUGGUGCUUGCAGAGGAGAUCUGGCAGAGCCCUGGCUCUCCUCCAUACACGCUGACCCCUGGCUUCAUUGCUUGUCCCCUCUGAUCAUCUCCCCUUGGGAGAGGUGAGGGGAUAGCAAACAUGGAUUGCCUGUGUUGUAGCUGGUAGGAUGUCAGCCUGCUCAAACACAUGGGUCCAGACUAAUGCCCAAGUUAGCUUAUCAACAAAGCUUAUGAGCUCCAACCAAUCCCUUCAUUAAUAUACAUGUACAGUUUCCAAAAUGGAGCUAGUCCACAUCUGCCUUAGAGUACGGAUAAUGGAGGCUGGAUUUGUAUGAUAUAAUUGGAUACAACACUGAUAGAACCAGUAGCCCUCAGUCAUCGGGGUACAUCAGUAAGUCAAAGAAAGGAAACCGCUCACUUGGCUUAAGACUCGGCACAUACUCACUCUGCACCAGAGCUGGCAAAAAGUAAAGACUGAAAGAUCCCUCGAGAGUGUAUUCAUUGACCUCCCAGGCGUCCUUAAGGGGUUUGUUUGGGAAAUAUUGCGUAUUGAAUUAUUGAUCAUCUGACUAAGCAGAGAUGGAAAUAACUGAUCUACUGCUGAAGUGAAAAUAAAGAACAGGGGAAGAAAAGGAAGUGGUAGAGUAUAGAAAAGUUGAGGUAUGGACCACAAACACUACCUAUAUUAAAGGAUAUUCAUGUUAUUCUAUGAUAGAAUAACAACAUUAUCCCUUCGGGCUCGUGUUAAUACUUUGGCUAAAUCCUUUAAGUAGAUUAGAAAGAAUUAUGGGACCUUACUGGAGGAAAAAACCUAUAAACAGGUAGCGUGCAUGCUUUCGUGUAGAUGGCUUCCAACAAAGUGCUGCCCUGGAACAGAAAGAAGGGAAGAACCAGACGCUGGAUUCUUGAGGGGGCAAUUAGUGAGAAAAAUUAAGGUUUGAAAUUUUAUUUUUGUUAACAUUUUGGGCUUCUCACAACUUCUCUGCUCAGCUGUUCCCUGUCACUCUGGACAAAUUUCAAGACAAACUCCUUUACUCAUAAAAAAAGCAACCCCGAGCACUUAAGGAAGGAUUGCAAAAACAAGCUUCAUGCUGCUUAACUUCAUCUCUUUAUGUGGCUUAAUGUGGUUUUUUUUACACUUAUUGGGUUAUAUUCUAGCCAGGCUAAGCUGCUGAAGUCCCACUGAAUCAAUGAGGUGGUGCUAAAUCCUCUGAAGGUUCCUCUGAUUUUCACCCUCUCGCUGGUAUUCUGACAAGCUAAACAUAUUACAUUCCUCCACGCCUCUCUAUUCAUAAGAAAAGCUUCAAAAUAUAACUCAGAUCACUCCUAUAAUAACCUGCAGAAGACGUACAGCAUCUGAAUGUAUACACACAUCCUCAGGUUAUUAUUAUUUUUGAUAGGCUUUGUUUUGGCCCCUGAUUUUCUUUUGUUUUCCUCUUCCGGCAGCACUUCUCAGACCGCAUGCUUAUCUAAUGUGUUCAUGUGCCCGCCCUGAACGCACAACAAAACUCUCCUCACGGAACAACACACCAAACAAAACAACACAUUGUUUAAAAAUACAUAAGCACAUUCCUUGUUUCAGCACACACACACACAAAACAACCUCUGUGAUUUCAAAUUCAUCAAGAGAAACUUCAAGGACCUCCAGGGCAGACCGACACUGACCCAGCAGAAGUGAGGCCUGUGAUAACUUUCCCCUUAAUCUGGUUUUCUCCUGCAGUCAACUUUGGCUUCCUCUUCUUUAUUGAUACUGUUGUUCUUAUUCUGAAACAUCCCCAGGACCUCUCUGCUACAUCCUGAAGCUUCUGUACUCAUCAAGAAGCAGAAAAGCACCUCCACCCUAAGGCACGAAACACAGCUGAAAGAGCACAGACCAUCAGCGCAUCAUGCAGAGCAUACAUCUUUCAGAAACACGUAUCUGACCCAAAAGCAUGGCUUCAGCCCUGAAGAAUACUUCUGAAGAAAUACCCUUUGGUAAUGUCUUCAGAGGACCUCUGGGCCAUAUUGCUCAACAUCCCACCAGUAAAUAAAUAUUUGUGUGAGAUGAGUACCAAGAGCAGCAUGAAAGAUGAUGCUGGGACCGAAAAAUGAAGCCUGAGUUUUCUGCAUCUGUUCAGACCAUUUUAAAAGCGAAACUGCUGGAACACAGGACGCAGCAGAACACAGUUCCUGUGGAACUCCAUACAACUAGUACCAAUAGACACCUCCGUCUGGUGAGAAGAAAAAUCGUGUAAGUUGAUCAUAAAACAAGCAUAAGUGACAAAGUAACAUCAUUUCUAUUGAUUUGCUUUCAAAAGUGGGAUGCAGCUGUGAAACUGUGAUGCUUUUAUACGCUGCACCUAGCAUCAUAUCAGCUGUCACGGCUUAUUGAAGAUGUGAGCCACCCAACACAGGCACUGCAUUCCUUUCUAGACACACAGCAACAAAAGGGAUGGCAGACGUGCCCGGAGAUCCAGGCUGAGGAAUGGGGCAGCUGGCAAACCCACUGACAGAACACAGAACUGGUGUUCUUAUCCAGGCAGUCACACACACCAUUGGUGUGGCGGGGCUGCCAGUAAGAGCUGCAGUCAGGUAUGUUUUUUUGAGGCACGAACAACACUGUACCCUAUAAAUAUUUUAUAUAAUUAUUAUUUUUCCCUAUGGAUUGCGUAGGAGCAGCCAAGACAAUAAGCAAUGGUAGAACAUAAAGCAGGCCCAGAUGUGCCCACGUCAGCAUUCCUCCUCCCUAUGCUUUUAAGGGCUUAAAGAACCUCUGAUUGAAAGUCAAGUCCUACAUGCAGCAUCAUGUAACAGUCCAGAUAGCACAGUCUUGUGCUGCUGUUUACAGCCUUACACUGUGACCCAGAGUGACAUCCAUUUCAACAGCACUGGUUAAAAACCUGCACUCAAAACCACUGCCUCCUGCCCUGAUGUACUGAAAACUUGCACGCCACCCUGUUCCAGUGGGAGAAUACAAUUAGCACUGGGUGGGCAGCUGAAAAGUAUUAGAAAGCUGCAACAUCAUCAAACUUUUCUCUUUUUUAAAUGCCUCAUUUCAGAACUAAGCAAUGGGAGACAGUUUUUAAGCUAUUACCCUUUUAUUCAUGCCAUUUUCCCCCCUCUCCUAAGACAUACCUUUGGGUGUUAUGUGACAGCCAUCAAUACCAUUGCUCACAGCCUAAGCACCUUUGAUACCAAUUAGAAAGAAAAAAAAAAUAGAGAAAUCAGGAAAAGGCAAAUGUAUUUGUUAGCUUUUUAUCCAAAGAGCAAUUUACAGAAGGGAAAAUUUACUAAUGAUUUCAGCCUUGACACUUCAAAGUGAAACACUGGGCAGUGUAACAUACUCUAAUUUGUCUUAAAAUAUAUUGAAAUACGUGACUGUAGCACCAGGAAGUAUGACUUCAGGGACCAUGGUAUUUCAGUUUCCUAAAAGGACAGGCAGUUACCUCACCAUUAUGAGCGUGCUUUUAAAACCUGGAGUAACACUUCUUGCACGUUGUGGGGGGGAAAGAAAUUGGCCUUCUCUUGGCUUCCUGAGCUGUGAAGGCUCACUUUGUACAAUAAAAUCCUUCCCUAAUGACACGCUUAUAAUCCUAAGAAGUAGUACAGAUGGUGUGUAUUUUUC
ensembl:lncRNA